rnacentral:rRNA from 1 species
CCUACGGGAGGCAGCAGUGGGGAAUAUUGCACAAUGGAGGCAACCCUGAUCCAGCGACGCCGCGUGCGUGAAGAAGUAUUUCGGUGUGUAAAGCUCUAUCAGCAGGGAAGAAAUAAAGUCCUUCGGACUUUGGACGGUACCUGACUAAGAAGCCCCGGCUACCUACGUGCCAGCAGCCGCGGUAAUACGUAGGGGGCAAGCGUUAUCCGGAUUUACUGGGUGUAAAGGGAGCGUAGACGGCAGCGCAAGUCUGGAGUGAAAUCCCAUGGCUUAACCAUGGAACUGCUUUGGAAACUGGGCAGCUGGAGUGCAGGAGAGGUAAGCGGAAUUCCUAGUGUAGCGGUGAAAUGCGUAGAUAUUAGGAGGAACACCAGUGGCGAAGGCGGCUUACUGGACUGUAACUGACGUUGAGGCUCGAAAGCGUGGGGAGCAAACAGGAUUAGAUACCCCUGUAGUC